UGGGGAAUAUUGCACAAUGGAGGGAACUCUGAUGCAGCGACGCCGCGUGAGUGAUGAAGGAAUUCGUUUCGUAAAACUCUGUUCUAUGGGAAGAAAAGGACUGUACCAUAGAAGAAAGCUCCGGCUAAAUACGUGCCAGCAGCCGCGGUAAUACGUAUGGAGCGAGCGUUGUCCGGAAUUAUUGGGCGUAAAGGGUGCGCAGGCGGCUUUACAAGUUGGAUGUGAAAUAUUGUGGCUCAACCACAAACGUGCAUCCAAAACUGCAAAGCUUGAGUUAAGGAGAGGUAAGUGGAAUUCCGGGUGUAGCGGUGGAAUGCGUAGAUAUCAGGAGGAAUACCGGUGGCGAAGGCGACUUACUGGACUUAAACUGACGCUCAGGCACGAAAGCGUGGGGAGCAAACAGG
rnacentral:rRNA from 1 species